UUUAUAAUUUAGUAUCAUAUUAAUUUUUUUACCUAAAAUAUAGUAGAAUAGAAAUCAAAAUCUUCAAAAGAUUCUCAAAUCCAAUACCUCACGAGGUCUGAAAUCACAGGCCCUCUACUUCGCCUACACAGCAAGCUCCGUAGAGAAGAGGGAUGAUCUUCUUUACCUUAAUCCUUAGAAGGAAAGUGAAGGGAAGUUGAGAUCAAAUCUCACACCCC
rnacentral:lncRNA from 1 species